CUACGGGAGGCACCAGUGAGGAAUAUUGGUCAAUGGGGGCAACCCUGAACCAGCCAUGCCGCGUGAAGGAUGAAGGCUUUAUGAGUUGUAAACUUCUUUUAUAUAGGGCGAACCAUUUUUACGUGUAAAGAUCUGACAGUACUAUAUGAAUAAGCAUCGGCUAACUCCGUGCCAGCAGCCGAGGUAAUACGGAGGAUGCGAGCGUUAUCCGGAUUUACUGGGUUUAAAGGGUGCGUAGGCGGGUCUAUAAGUCAGUGGUGAAAGUCUGUCGCUUAACGAUAGGAUUGCCAUUGGAACUGUAGGUCUUGAGUACAAUUGAGGCAGGCGGAAUGUGCAGUGUAGCGGUGAAAUGCUUAGAUAUUGCACAGAACACCGAUUCCGAAGGGAGCUUGCUAAGUUGUCACUGACGCUGAGUCACGAAAGCGUGGGGAUCAAACAGGAUUAGAUACCCGCGUAGUC
rnacentral:rRNA from 1 species